CAAGGGUUUCCCUCUCUGCUUUCAGACUUAAUUCAGCAGAAAGGGCUUUUAAUUCCCAGUGGGAGGGUUAUAUUCUCUGUGAAAACAGAAAAGGGACUGUUAUAAAGGUGCAUCGGUGGGAACAUGAGGACGGGAGGGAGCUGUAAAGUCUCCUCCCCUCCCCCUUCCUGUACUCAACCCCCUAUCCUCCUUUCUUCGGGGUUUGAUGUCACUCAAAAUAAGCCAAUCGCAUCUCAUGGACUUCCUAGUUCUCCGGACCUUGCUCCUCCCAUCCCCUCUGUUGUUUAAAUAUAUUCCCAGGCACUACUAUGUGCAGAGUGUACAAUGUGCAGUCGAAGAGCCAGCAGCCCGUGUAGAGCGAUACCGCCAGAGAGGAAAGAAGAGAGGAGGGAGCGCGCUGGUGCCUAAGAUCAGCGCUUCUGAUUCAGUCGGGAUCGGCUUACUCCCGCAGUCAGGAUGGGCUGUACAGCGGGACAAUUUGCCUGCCAACCGCAGCCCCAGAUAAACUCUGGCCAGGAGAGUCUGUCCCUGGAGGCGGGUGGCGCUAAGGUCCCCGAAGUUCUCUCCUCCCUGGAGCGUCUGUCGCAAGCUACGGGAGGCAUGGAGAAGUCGUGGUACCGGUGCAUCUUUCCCUUUGGCAUCAUCUCUUUGGUCAUAGGGAUUGCUGGAACGGGGGUGACCUACACUUACAACGACCUGCCACAGACUAAAGUUGUGUCGGUGGUGCUACUUGUCAUGGGCCUUGUGCUGCUGUUCAUGGCCACUGCUUGCUGGACUCUCCACAAAAAGAAGAGACGGAAAAAGAAGGAGGGAGAGUCUCUGACGUCUGAGCAGUGUCCCCUGUGAAGCACACGGAGGGAAGCAGUUAGAAGAGACUGAAACAGAGUCAGGUUAAGGGUUUGCCUGCGCUCAAGGUCCGGCUGAUAAAAGCCCCCCCUCAUUACCUUCAACCAAAACCAAAUCCCCUUUGUUAUUUAUCACGGAGCUGAGACACAGUUUAGGUCAAGAAAUUAGAGUCAAAGGACAAGUUCGAGUCUACCGAAGGUUUUGGGAUCCCAAUUCCUCGAACGCUUUGGUUUUCCGACAGCAGGUGUGUCUCGUGUCAAAACAAUAACGGCGGAGAUGCACAAAAGCACGCAUAGCACACAGCUUGCAUAUAUUUACAAGCACAGAGGUACCCUUAGAGUUGCAGCGCUGACACCCAACACGCUAUCCAGGACCGCCCGCUGGAGUCACUGCUGCCGUCACCACCGGGAACGUCAGUCGCAGCAUUCCUCUCACCGGGGCAGGUGACUCUCCGAGAGGCCAGAAGUGGGCCAAAGACUGCAACCCGAUUCCCGGCCGAAAGAGCAGGGCACCCGCGUCACCCGCCAACGUCACGCGCUCGUCCUGUGACACUGCAGCAAUGUGCGAGGGGCUUUUUAUACGCAACAGGAGAGUGGAACACGAGUCCGGCAGGAGCUUUGCUGGCAUGUGCAGCCGUUGACGAGCCCAGAGGGUAGAGCAACCCGCUGGGAUGAGAUCAAUGUUGGUGGUGUGAGAGAUUUCUUUGGAAGCCGGACCUAAAUCCUGAGGAGAAAUGAAGUUUUGCACGUAUGUCCACGUCCAAGAAAGAACAAGAAAGAAGGCAUACUUACAGCAGCCUUUGUGUAGCUUGGGGGGGGGGGGGGGGGUCCAUUGACUUUUGGUCUGACUGAUUGCCUUUCUGUCAAUGUGGGGGUAUUCACGCCCAGCCUUAUGUCUAUGUGAGGUACUUAUUGAAGGACACUGCCUUGGGGGGGCCAUGUCGCUGCAGGGACACUUUGACUCAUCCUGCUCCUCCAUCACCCCUCCCUCUCGGUGCCUUGAGUGCUUAUGGUGAAAGAAGCUCUGUCACAUUCCCCUAUUUCCAUCUGAACUUACCCAACUAAUGUCUCUCCCACAGUUGAAGGGAGUAGCGUACAAAGCUGCUCUCUGGCGAUCACUGACUAAUGUUUGGGUUCUGAUCAUCUCCUGGGUUUCCCCUUCCCCACGUAUUUUCUUUCAGAGACGAACUGCUCGUGAAUGGGGGCAUUCAGUGAAUGCGCGAGACACGCAAGGCUGUUUUAUCUGUGCCUCCAGCACUCCUCCUUGUGACCGAAUGUAAUGUGAGCUAAAAAAAACAACAACAACAACAACCAAGUGAUAUCAUAGAUGGAUUGGCGUGCAACGUACACAGAGUGAAAAGAUUAAGCGCCGCUUGUCUCUGUGUGAAUGACUGAACUAGCCCUGCAGGAUCUCUUAAGAACCUUUUAUUGAUCAGAAAUGCAUUGAUCCUGGCUUGGAGGAUGCCGGGGGAAAACGUGUCUAUACAUGCAGGUUGAGCAGAGGGCGUUAAAAAAAAGGCACAGACCAUCUCAAGCUUCAACUUACCUAUCGCAAACCGGCUUUUUCCCCUUGCCGCCUGCCUUCCUAGAUGGUCAGUCCUCCUGUUUUGGAGCUUCUUUGUGCGUUAGCUGCUCAUUUUGCUUUGUAUACUGAUGUUUACCAUACUCUGGUUGUGUAACCAGCAGCAGCGAAGGGUUGAACAAUAGUGGUAGUAAACAACAGGAUGUUGGAAGUCAUUGCUUUGGAGAUUUAUGUGGGAACAAGGAGGUACGCCCCCCUAGAUUAGGAUCACUCAUCUUUAAAAGAAAGUAAUUAUUUAACAGCCGAUACGUUGCACCACUGGAGGUUACAGGGAAGAUCUCUGCUGAACCGGAGCGGUGUAGCUCUACUCCGACUCUGCUCUCACUGCCGCAUGUGAGAUAUAACAAUUUCCAAAAAUACUCCAACAGCAAACCCCUGAUAUCUUUCAUUGGACGUGUCAGUUUUUUUUUUCGUAUGCGCGCAGAGCAGCGGCGUCCUUUAAAACACCGAGGCAAAGCAGAAGCCCUGAAAUGACAUUACGUCGGAUGAUAAAAUAACAAGCUGUCUGCCUUUGCAGUCUGUGUGUGAACUAUCUUCAGAUUUGUUUCACUCAGGGGAUGCCCUUAGAAAAGCAUGGUAUUUGGAGCCUUUGUUCUCUUUCAUACAUAGCAACUCUGUGUUUAUAAUAGGGUAAACAAAAAUGUGAUUCAUAAAGACCCCCUGCCUUAUAUUAACAUUGAUUGUAGUUAAAGCUGUUCACUCAGAGGAGCAGAAGCAUAGAGUAAGAUCAUUGAUGGGUAAUUGUCUUGGGGGGAGGUGGUGGCAUCACAAAAAAUAGAGACAAAUGAGGUACACAGUGUUAUAUUCCUGACUUGGCUUGUAUAUCACUGCAGUUUUCCCAUGUACAGUACACACUGACUAUAUUUUUUUGCAUCAUUAUACUUAAAUUUUAAUUCUUAAGCUAUAUUGUGCCAGUAUAAGUUGGUGGGCCAGAUAUUGUUUGUCUGAGACAUAAAGUGAUUUCCCUUCUGCCUUCUGAAUUUUUAAAGAGAAAGUCUACCUCUCUCUGCUGCAGGGACUAAUGUCCCUCUCCUACUAGACAGCAAAGCUGUCAGUCUGUUUGCUGUUCCUCACUUGACUUUAUAUAUUGCUUACUGUGCCCUCAUUUGGUGCUGUAAAUAGAUUUUUUUUAUUUUAUUUGAAUUAUGUAUUUCUACUAAUGUGUUAAUUUUCACUCUUUCUGUUUGUAUCGCAUUAAAUAAAUGUCAGUGGUUUGUGUCUUGAAGAAAACCCUCCUGGCAUUUCAUUGAAAGAUGAAGUCGUUUACUUUGUGAACAAACUGGGCAUGGCUUUAAACACUGAAGCCUUGAAGGCGGCGGACACGUAACAGAUCACAUUUGUUCUUGUAUCUUUUUUGUCAAACACAUAUGUGUGUGUAUGGCGGAACCACCUCGGCCUCCUAUUUAGUUGCGAUACCUGUGCUAAACUGACACUCUGUCACGUGCUGCCUUUGUUAGACUGGAUUAAUUGCAGAGAGAUGCGGUCAUUAAGUAGGAAAUUAGCCUGGCUGGUGUGAAUAAAUACCUCCUCUUACUGGCAGGCCACCCUCACAGAGCUAUUUCAAAUGCUACUCUGUAAACGUAUACAGAGUCAGAAGUUUACAUACACUCCCCAUGGCUAUGAAAAUGUGAGGUAUUUGCUUUUUAAUGAUGCUUUUAAACCUGUUUUCAUGGUGGAUUUAAUAAACAACUUACUGUACUGCAAGGAUUUUUAAAAUCAGGCCCAUGUUGCACAGGUUAGGAUUUCUUGUGGAAUUUCAGAGUCUAAAUUAUACACACAGACUCCAAAUACAUACUUAAACCCCCUCUAAUACUGGGUUAAAAGUCCCUUAGUGAGUUGCACUUGUGCUUUUUAUAGACUCCAGCAAGAUUCAGGCACCAUUUUGACUGGAUGUUUGACCAUUUGUCUUUGCAGAACUGGUAGAGUUGAUUCGGACUAUUUUGUUUCCCGGCAUAUACUUGGUUUUUAAGCAUUGCCCACGAAUAAUAUUUUGCUGAUAACGUGGGAAAACUAUGCGGAUGUGGAAGGGAACCGUGUUUGGAUCUGUCUACAGGGUGGAGUGGCCAAACGGGGCAUAGUGCAGACAGGGCUGGAAGUGGUUAUUUGGAUUUUGACCGUCAGCACAGAUCACAGGAAACCAGUUGGGAGCAACUCAUCCGCCUCUGAAACCGCAGGACUUUGGCCUCCAACCAGAACAUUCAGCACCAUUUGCCCUCUAUCAAACUUUGAAUUAUACAAAACUGACAUUUUGGAUAAGCGAGAUGCAACAUGCAGCUCAUUGUGACGUUAUUAAAUCUGGAUUGGAGCCAUCUGCUGCCUGAUGGCUUUAUUUAUUCUUUAUUCAAAUGCAAAAUCAACAGCAUCUGUGCAAAAUAAAAUCUGUAUCUAAUUAGUCA